rnacentral:rRNA from 1 species
AAAUUGAAGAGUUUGAUCAUGGCUCAGAUUGAACGCUGGCGGCAGGCCUAACACAUGCAAGUCGAACGGUAACAGGAAACAGCUUGCUGUUUCGCUGACGAGUGGCGGACGGGUGAGUAAUGUCUGGGAAACUGCCCGAUGGAGGGGGAUAACUACUGGAAACGGUAGCUAAUACCGCAUAACGUCGCAAGACCAAAGAGGGGGACCUUCGGGCCUCUUGCUAUCGGAUGUGCCCAGAUGGGAUUAGCUAGUAGGUGGGGUAACGGCUCACCUAGGCGACGAUCCCUAGCUGGUCUGAGAGGAUGACCAGCCACACUGGAACUGAGACACGGUCCAGACUCCUACGGGAGGCAGCAGUGGGGAAUAUUGCACAAUGGGCGCAAGCCUGAUGCAGCCAUGCCGCGUGUAUGAAGAAGGCCUUCGGGUUGUAAAGUACUUUCAGCGGGGAGGAAAGGAGUAAAGUUAAUACCUUUGCUCAUUGACGUUACCCGCAGAAGAAGCACCGGCUAACUCCGUGCCAGCAGCCGCGGUAAUACGGAGGGUGCAAGCGUUAAUCGGAAUUACUGGGCGUAAAGCGCACGCAGGCGGUUUGUUAAGUCAGAUGUGAAAUCCCCGGGCUCAACCUGGGAACUGCAUCUGAUACUGGCAAGCUUGAGUCUCGUAGAGGGGGGUAGAAUUCCAGGUGUAGCGGUGAAAUGCGUAGAGAUCUGGAGGAAUACCGGUGGCGAAGGCGGCCCCCU